rnacentral:rRNA from 1 species
GACGAACGCUGGCGGCGUGCUUAACACAUGCAAGUCGAACGGGGUCCAAGUGUUCGCAAGAACAUGGAAGACCUAGUGGCGAACGGGUGAGUAACACGUGAGGAACCUACCCCGGACUCAGGAAUAACAGUCGGAAACGAUUGCUAAUACCUGAUGCCGUCGGAGCAUCGCAUGGUGCACUGACGAAAGAAUCUCGGUUCGGGCGGGCCUCGCGGCCUAUCAGCUUGUUGGUGGGGUAACGGCCUACCAAGGCAUCGACGGGUAGCUGGUCUGAGAGGAUGAUCAGCCACACUGGGACUGAGACACGGCCCAGACUCCUACGGGAGGCAGCAGUGGGGAAUCUUGCGCAAUGGGCGAAAGCCUGACGCAGCAACGCCGCGUGCGGGAAGAAGGCCUUAGGGUUGUAAACCGCUUUCAGUAGGAACGAAAAUGACGGUACCUGCAGAAGAAGGUGCGGCCAACUACGUGCCAGCCGCCGCGGUAACAC